rnacentral:lncRNA from 12 species
CCCCCCCCCCCCCCCCCCCCCCCCCCCCCCCCCCCCCCCCCCCCCCCCCCCCCCCCCCCCCCCCCCCCCCCCCCCCCCCCCGGCCACUGACCCCCCCCCAUGGCCACUGACCCUCCCCAGCCAGGCCGUGGGGGAUCCCAUUGACUCAACUGGGGACCAGUUCCUGUCCCACAACCCCACUGGGAACCAGUUCCUGCCUGAACUGGGACCAGUUCCUGUCCUGUAACUCCACUGGGAACCAAUUCCUGCCCCACUGGAAGCCUCACUGGGACCAGUUCCCACCCCAUAACUCCCACUGGGAACCAGUUCCUGCCCCACUGGGACCAGUUCCUGUCCCAUAAUUCCUGCUGGAACCAGUUCCCACCCCAUUUCCCUACUGGGAACAGUCCCCACCUCAACUGGAACCAGUUCCUGGCCCACAGCCCUACUGGGAACCAGUUCCUGUCCUAUAACCCUACUGGGACCAGUUCCUGCCCCAUAACCCUACUGGGAACCAGUUCCUGCCCCAUAACCCUACUGGGAACCAGUUCCCGCCUCAACUGGGACCAGUUCCUGCCCCAUAACUCCUACUGGGAACCAGUUCCCGCCUCAACUGGGACCAGUUCCUGCCCCAUAACUCCUACUGGGAACCAGUUCCCGCCUCAACUGGGACCAGUUCCUGCCCCAUAACUCCUACUGGGAACCAGUUCCCGCCUCAACUGGGACCAGUUCCUGCCCCAUAACUCCUACUGGGAACCAGUUCCCGCCUCAACUGGGACCAGUUCCUGCCCCAUAACUCCUACUGGGAACCAGUUCCCGCCUCAACUGGGACCAGUUCCUGCCCCAUAACUCCUACUGGGAACCAGUUCCCGCCUCAACUGGGACCAGUUCCUGUCCCAUAACUCCUACUGGGAACCAGUUCCUGCCCCACUAGAAGCCUCAGCUGGGAACCAGUUCCUGCCCUACUGGAACCAGUUUCCCACCGCACUGGGACCAGUUUCCCUCCCAGACCCCACCGGGCCCCCCCUGCCCGCCCCGUGGGUGCCCCUCCCCCCCCGCACGCCCCCCCCCCCCCCCCCCCCC